AUGCAAGUCGAGCGGCCGUAGCAAUACGGCAGCGGCAGACGGGAGAGUAACACGUGGGAACGCGCCCUUCGGUUCGGAAUAACUCAGGGAAACUUGGGCUAAUACCGGAUACGCCCUUACGGGGAAAGAUUUAUCGCCGAAGGAACGGCCCGCGUCCGAUUAGCUUGUUGGUGAGGUAACGGCUCACCAAGGCGACGAUCGGUAGCUGGUCUGAGAGGAUGACCAGCCUCACUGGGACUGAGACACGGCCCAGACUCCUACGGGAGGCAGCAGUGGGGAAUAUUGGACAAUGGGCGCAAGCCUGAUCCAGCCAUGCCGCGUGGGUGAUGAAGGCCCUAGGGUUGUAAAGCCCUUUCGGCGGGGAAGAUAAUGACGGUACCCGCAGAAGAAGCCCCGGCUAACUUCGUGCCAGCAGCCGCGGUAAUACGAAGGGGGCUAGCGUUGCUCGGAAUUACUGGGCGUAAAGCGCACGUAGGCGGCUUCUUAAGUCGGUGGUGAAAUCCUGGAGCUCAACUCCAGAACUGCCUUCGAUACUGGGAAGCUCGAGUCCGGGAGAGGUGAGUGGAACUGCGAGUGUAGAGGUGAAAUUCGUAGAUAUUCGCAAGAACACCAGUGGCGAAGGCGGCUCAC
rnacentral:rRNA from 1 species